rnacentral:piRNA from 1 species
ACAUGUAGAAUCACUUUUGAUUUC